rnacentral:rRNA from 1 species
UACGUAGGGCGCAAGCGUUGUCCGGAAUUAUUGGGCGUAAAGAGCUCGUAGGCGGUUUGUCGCGUCUGCUGUGAAAACCUCAGGCUCAACCUGGGGCUUGCAGUGGGGUACGGGCAGACUAGAGUGCGGUAGGGGUGACUGGAAUUCCUGGUGUAGCGGUGGAAUGCGCAGAUAUCAAGGGAGGGAACACCGAUGGCGAAAGGCAGG